AGUGAACGCUGGCGGUAGGCCUAACACAUGCAAGUCGAACGGCAGCACAGUAAGAGCUUGCUCUUACGGGUGGCGAGUGGCGGACGGGUGAGGAAUACAUCGGAAUCUACUUUUUCGUGGGGGAUAACGUAGGGAAACUUACGCUAAUACCGCAUACGACCUACGGGUGAAAGCAGGGGAUCUUCGGACCUUGCGCGAUUGAAUGAGCCGAUGUCGGAUUAGCUAGUUGGCGGGGUAAAGGCCCACCAAGGCGACGAUCCGUAGCUGGUCUGAGAGGAUGAUCAGCCACCCUGGAACUGAGACACGGCCCAGACUCCUACGGGAGGCAGCAGUGGGGAAUAUUGGACAAUGGGCGCAAGCCUGAUCCAGCCAUACCGCGUGGGUGAAGAAGGCCUUCGGGUUGUAAAGCCCUUUUGUUGGGAAAGAAAAGCAGCAGGUUAAUACCCCGCUGUUCUGACGGUACCCAAAGAAUAAGCACCGGCUAACUUCGUG
rnacentral:rRNA from 1 species